rnacentral:rRNA from 1 species
AUGCCCCGCCGCAGCCAGAGCAGUGCCCCCAUCGACCUCGACGAANNNNNNNAGUGCAAGACCAAGCGCUCUCGAGCGAGUAUAAGGCCAGCACCGAAGGUGCCUGGGAGCUCAAAUCGCAUUGCAAGUAGCAGAAGGGACAAGGAAAAUCAAGACAAACUGGAUACCCGUAUCUUCGAUUUAUACAUGGNGAACCUUUGGAAGCGUACAGAUGAAGAUCAGAAGAAUGCUUGCGCAUAUUUGGAUCCAUUAUGGUUUAACAGUUACGUUAAUGGGGACAAAGAACAGAAAUCAAGAAUUCUUAGAUGGACAAAGAAAUUGAAAAUAUUUUCAAGAAAAUAUGUGUUUGUCCCUAUUGUUCGUUGGGGACAUUGGAACCUCCUUGUCCUAUGCCACUUUGACGAGACAGACUGCUCAGAUGCAAAAAAAGGACCGCGAAUGCUGCUGCUGGAUUCACUUAACACAACAGAUCCGAAGAGGUUGGCACCUGAAAUAAGAGGAUUCAUUCGUGGUAUUUAUGAAAUCGAAGAGCGGGAAGAAAGUGUGCACUUCAUAAAAAAAAUCCGUCUUGAGUUUCCUAAGGUGCCACAGCAAAAUGGGGAGGAAUGUGGUAUAUAUGUUCUUUACUUCAUCCACUGUUUUCUUCAAAACGGAAAAUUGGCAGAAGUUCUUCGGAAUAAAACACUGGAAGAAGAUUUCAGCCAGCUGUUUGAUGAUGGCACCUUUGAUCCAGAGGAACUAGAGAACUUCCGCAAGGAUGUUCAUGCAUUCCAAGUGGAAAGGAGUACCGAAACUGGACAGUAG